rfam:Xenorhabdus szentirmaii DSM 16338, WGS project CBXF01000000 data, contig: XENSZ_2115_Contig_3
AUAGGUACAACAAAAACCACCACUACGAUUACCACCGGAACCACAAGUUACGGUGCGGGCUGACGCGUAAAAAUAAAAUAACCAUGAGCCCGUAUCCCACAAGAUACGGGCUUUUUUUUG